GGGAGAUUAGCCUAGUGGUUCAGGCAGUCGGCUGUUAACCGACCUACAGGUGUUCAAUUCACUUAUUUCCCG
rnacentral:tRNA from 1 species